UAUCAGCUUAAUUGUUUUUGUUAAUGUUUGUGGGAACGAAAUUAGAGCAGAUCCAGGCAGACCAUGUAAACUAGGUCCGAAUGUCGAACAGAAUGUAUUGUUUACUUUUUUCCUUCCGAUCUUGUGUGGUAAAAUGCAAAUAACUGUUACAAGGUGACUAAGUGUAUUGAAAAGAUAGGUUUUCAAAAUAAUUCCUUUGUUCCAACGCAAUAACCAUUAAAUCAAUAUUUACUAAUUGUGAAUUUUUAGAAAACUUUGUUUCUUUCUUUCGGGAGAUUGAUAGCAUCAGGCAGCAAUUACAGAAAUGGCAUGUAUCCCAUGCAUAGUUAUACCGUUCUUUCUCUUCAUCUGGCAUCGUUACCUCCAGCCAAUUUUACUACGGUUCUGGAAUCCUUGGCAAAAAAUUGAGAACAAGAAGGAAGCCAUCAACGCAACAGAAUCUCAUCAAUUGAAAACAAGUGAAAAUGGUGGUAUCGCUGCAGUUUCCACCACUGAAGUUGAUGCUAGCCCUUCUUACACAGACAAGAACAAGUGUGACUAACCAAAAUUAAAAUUUUUGUAACAGUUUAUCAUUCCAAGGCAUACUAUAUUUAUCACUUGCAUUCCUGGUGUGCUGGAGAGAUUCUUUUGUUUCACUUCACAUACUCAAUUAUAUGUACAUAGCACUGUAAAUUAUGUAAUUAAAAUUAAAUUAUAAAUAA